UACAGAGGUCUCAAGCGUUGUUCGGAUUCAUUGGGCGUAAAGGGUGCGUAGGUGGCAUGGUAAGUCGGAUGUGAAAUCCCGGGGCUCAACCCCGGAACUGCAUUCGAUACUGCUGAGCUAGAGUACUGGAGAGGAGAUUGGAAUUUACGGUGUAGCAGUGAAAUGCGUAGAUAUCGUAAGGAAGACCAGUGGCGAAGACGGAUCUCUGGACAGUUACUGACACUGAGGCACGAAGGCCAGGGGAGCAAACGGG
rnacentral:rRNA from 1 species